rnacentral:lncRNA from 1 species
UCCAUAGGUGUCACACUCGGGUUUAAGGGAUAAAGCCGGGUGCGUCUCAUAUGUGCGCUAAAGAAGAACAACACAUAUAAUAACAUAGUGUAUAGAGAUAAAUGUCACAAUAUCAUAAAAGUAAUUAUUACAUAGCGGAGGUCUUACAAAAUAAAAGAUAAAUAUAAAAUGAACUAAAGUCCAUCCUUGGCGCCAUAAAGUCGACUGGGAGACGUCACCUAGAUCAAGUCGUACUCCUUGUUGUGCGGCUCCUCCUGGGCCACCCGUUCUUCUCCUGGGAGGGUUUAUAUCGCAAGUGUGAGCUCACAAAAGAUCAUAGCUCAACAAGUCGUGGGGAAUAACGUGCAUGAACUCACCAAAGGUGGGAGUUCAUGUGAUUUGUAAGGCUGAUCAAAACAAUAGGGUUAAAUCUGAGCAUUACUUUUAAUAAGUUGGUCAAAUUUUAUUAGCAAUUACUAGAUGUAAGUAAAUACCAAACUAUAAUAAUAAUAGAACAAAAUUAAUAAUAAAUCCCAUGCAAUGCAAAUGAUAAAUUGAAUUUAGUUCCAUAAUUUAAUCAUGCGAGAGUCCUAGGCUGCUAAUGACCGCGAGCACGGCUAGUAUACCAGUUUUACACUCUGCAGAGGUUGUACCCUGUACCCACAAGUCGUGUAUCCCAUGUCACCAGGGUUAGCCAGACCCUUAGACACUACCGAGGUGAAUGGCUAGAGAUCCACUACGAGGCCUUUACAAAGUUCCACUAGCUUCAGAAAAUCCACUACAGUUUCUAGGAAGAGCAAUGCAGGAAUCCCCGGUUUGACCGCUGUCGGGGACCAUAAUUAGGGGUACCCCCAAGACUCCUAAUCUCAGCUGGUAACCCCUAUCAGCACAAAGCUGCAAAGGCCUGAUGGACGCAAUUCAGGUCAAGGCUCCGUCCCCUCAAGGGACACGAUCUCGCCUCGCCCGAGCCCAGCCUCGGGCAAAGACAGCCGACCCAGGAGGAUUCACGUCUCGCCCGAGGGUCCCCUCAGACAACGGGCGCACCUCCGACUCGCCCGAGGCCCAGCUCGGGCAGGCUUCGCAGAGAAGCAACCUUGGCCAAGAUCUCCUCGCCAGCCGACCGUAUCGCAGGAGCAUUCAAUGCAAGGAUCGCCUGACACCUUAUCCUGACGCGCGCUCUUCAGUCGACAGAGUCGAAGUGACCGUAGUCACUUCGCCCCUCCACUAGCUGACUUGACAAGAAAACAGCGACGCCUGCGCCGCUCCGACUGCUGUGCCACCCGUCAGGUGAGGCUGACAGCUGUCAAGUCCGGCCUGAGGCACCAUAGGAAGCUCCGCCUCGCCCGACCCCAGGGCUCGGACUCAACCUCGACCGAGGACGACGGUCUCCGCCUCGCCCGACCCCAGGGCUCGGACUCCACCUCGACACCGGAAGACGGUCUCCGCCUCGCCCGACCCCAGGGCUCGGACUCAACCUCGACCUCGGACGACGGACUCCGCCUCGCCCGACCCUAGGGCUCGAACUCAACCUCGACCUCGGACGAUGGACUCCGCCUCGCCCGACCCCAGGGCUCGGACUCAACCUCGACCUCGGACGACGGACUCCGCCUCGCCCGACCCCAGGGCUCGGACUCAACCUCGACCUCGGACGACGGUCUCCGCCUCGCCCGACCCCAGGGCUCGGACUCAGCCUCGACCUCGGAGGAGCCUCCGCCUUGCCCGACCUUGGGCUCGGACCGACCACGUCGCAGGGGGGCACAUCAUUACCCUACCCCUAGCUAGCUCAGGCUACGGGGAACAAGACCGGCGUCCCAUCUGGCUCGUCCCGGUAAAACAAGUAAUGAUGGCACCUCGCAUGCUCCAUGACGACGACGAUUCUCAGCCCCCUACGGAAGCAAGGAGAUGUCAGCAAGGACCCGACAGCUCCGAGAGUUGUGCUCCUACAGGGCUCAAGCGCUCCUCCGACGGCCACGACAUCACAUGAACAGGGCGCCAAAACCUCUCCGACAGCCACGUCGGCCUGUACAUAGGACUCUGGCUUCCCUCUGCUAGACACGUUAGCACAUUGCAACACCCCCCAUUGUACACCUGGGCCUUCUCCUUACAUCUAUAAAAGGAAGGUCCAGGGCCCUCGUACGAAAAGGUGGCCGCGCGGGAGGACGGGCUAACGCACAGGUUCUCUCUCUCUCCCUUGCGAACGCUUGUAACCCCCUACUGCAAGCGCAUCCGCCCUGGGCGCAGGACAACACGAGGCCGCGGUUCCCCUUAUUGUUUCCCCUUGUAUUCCGUCUCGCGCCGACCCAUCUGGGCUGGGACACGCAGCGACAAUUUACUCGUCGGUCCAGGGACCCCCCGGGGUCGAAACGCCGACAUUUGGCGCGCCAGGUAGGGGCCUGCUGCGUGUUGACGAACAGCUUCCCGUCAAGCUCCAGAUGGGUAGUCUCCAUCUACCUCUCCAACCCGGGACGAUGCUCCGUUUCGGGAGUCUCGAGUUCAUGUCCCUCGACGGCAGCUACGACAUGGUGCUCCUUCCUCCGCCGCGCGACAACGACAAUGGCGGCCGUCAGCCCGCUCGUCGGCGGCGGAAUCGACGACGUCAUCCCCACGUGGCGGAAGAGCAACAUCCGGGUCUAUCCCGUCACAUUCCCCGCCGACGGAGGAGGAGGCGGGGCAACCAUGGCCAAGCAGGAGGUGGCACCUCGUCGGCUGUCGAGCGAGUCAACGGCGCCAGCGCCCCAGCGGGGGACACGUCGGGCGUUGAUCUCGCGUCUGAGACGAAGACGAGCAUCGUCUCCCCGCAACACGCCAACCCCAAGCAGACGAACAACGCCAGCACGCUCGCGAAGGACUUGCUGGGCUUAGCCUCGUACCUGAGAUAACGGUGCAGUCCAUCCCCGACGCGGCUUCGUCACCAUCCGUCGAUCAAGAGGUACUGUCCGUUUUUCAUCCUGUGCCUUUUAGAUUCAGCUUCGACCCACCAAGCGAAGCCACUUCGGUGGAUGCUUUCAUAAAGGCAUAUCCGAACCUUCCGAGGUAUCAUAUGUGGUCAACCUGGGAUCGACUGACGGUCGUCUCGACCUACGGGCCCCCGGGUUCCGAGGAAGAUGACGAGACCGACUAUGGUUGGGAUUACUCCGGGCUCGGUAACCCCAGUGUCAUGCGGGACUUCAUGACCGCAUGUGACUACUGCCUCUCCGAUUGCUCCGAUAGUAGCCACAGCCUCGGCGACGAGGACUGUGGCCCAAGUCGCGAAUGUUUCCACGUCGAUCUAGGGGGUCUCGACGAAGGCAACCACCUUGGUAUGUCGGAGGACGGCGAUCCCCCUAGGCCUGCGCCUCACGUUGACAUCCUUCGGGAGCUAGCUGUGGUCCCAGUCCCUGCGGGGGGUCAGGACGCACAGCUCGAGAAAAUCUGGGAGAUGCAGGCCAGGCUCGACGAGGAAGCAGGGCAGCUUGUGCUGCUCCGGCAAAAUAUCGGGCAGGAGUGGGCAGGCCGAGCGCCGGCCGGAGAAGCGCGUCAUCUGGCCCAGGACGUCCAGCACCGCAUCGCCGACGAUGCCAAGGCAAGGCUGCCCCCGGCUUCCAGUGGGGUCGGCCAGAACCUGGCUGCAGCAGCAAUACUACUCCGAGCGAUGCCGGAACCAUCCACCACCGAGGGGCGGCGUAUCCAGGGAGAGCUCAAGAAUCUCCUGGAAGAUGCCGCGGUCCGACGGGCCGAAAGCUCUGCCUCCCGAAGGCAAAGGUACCCCCGGAGCAUUGCGCCGUGACUUCCCGAUUCACGCGGGAAGCCUCGGUCCACACCGGGCGCACGCAGAACACAGCGCAUGCGGCCCCGGGACGCCUCGGCAACGAGCACCACCGUCGCGACCGUCGAGCCCACCUCGAUGAUAAGGUGCGUCGAGGCUACCACCCCAGGCGUGGGGGACGCUACGACAACGGGGAGGAUCGGAGCCCCUCGCCCGAACCACCCGGUCUGCAAGCUUUCAGCCGGGCCAUACGACGGGCGUCGUUCCCGACCUGGUUCCGAACCCCGACUACCAUCACCAAGUACUCAGGGGAGACAAGGCCGGAACUAUGGCUCGCAGACUACCGGCUGGCCUGCCAGCUGGGUGGAACGGACGAUGACAACCUCAUCAUCCGCAACCUUCCCCUGUUCCUCUCUGACGCCGCCCGAGCCUCGCUGGAGCAUCUGCCUCCUGCGCAAAUUUCCAACUGGGACGAUCUGGUCAAAGCCUUCGCCGGCAACUUUCAGGGCACAUACGUGCGCCCUAGGAACUCCUGGGAUCUCCAAAGUUGCCGCCAGCUGUCGGGAGAGUCCCUACGGGACUACAUCCGGCGAUUUUCGAAGCAGCGCACCGAGCUGCCCAACAUCACCGACUCAGAUGUCAUCGGCGCGUUCCUUGCCGGCACCACUUGUCGUGACCUGGUGAGCAAGCUGGGUCGCAAGACUCCCACCAGGGCGAGCGAGCUGAUGGACAUCGCCACCAAGUUCGCCUCUGGUCAGGAGGCGGUCGAGGCCAUCUUCCGGAAGGACAAGCAGCCUCAGGGGCGCCAGCCAGAAGACGUCCCCGAGGCGUCCGCUCAGCGCGGCACCAAGAAGAAGUCGCAAGCGAAACGCGACGCCGCCAACGCAGACCUUGUCGCCGCCGCCGAGCACAGGAACCCUCGGAAGCCUCCUGGAGGCGCCAACCUGCUCGACAAGAUGCUCAUGGAGCCGUGCCCCUAUCAUCAGGGUCCCGUCAAGCACACCCUUGAGGAGUGCGUCAUGCUUCGGCGCUACUUCCACAAGGUCGGGCCACCAGCGGAAGGUGGCAGAGCCCACAACAACGACAAGAAGGAGGAUCACAAGGCAGAGGAGUUCCCCAAGGUCCACGACUGCUUCAUGAUCUACGGUGGGCAAGUGGCGAACGCCUCGGCUCGGCACCGCAAGCAAGAGCGCUAGGAGGUCUGCUCGGUGAAGGUGGCGGCGCCAGCCUACCUAGACUGGUCUGACAAGCCCAUCACCUUUGACCAGGGCGACCACCCCGACCGCAUGCCGAGCCCAGGAAAGUACCCGCUCGUUGUCGAUCCCAUCAUCGGCAACGUCAGGCUUGCCAAGGUCCUCAUGGACGGAGGCAGCAGCCUCAACAUCAUCUACGUCGAGACCCUCGGGCUCCUGCAGAUUGAUCUGUCCACGAUCCGGGUCGGCGCGGCGCCUUUUCAUGGGAUCAUCCCCGGGAAACGCGUCCAACCCCUUGGGCAACUCGAUCUUCCCGUCUGCUUCGGGACUCCCUCCAACUUCCGAAAGGAAACCCUCACGUUCGAGGUGGUCGGGUUCCGAGGAACCUACCACGCAGUGCUGGGGAGACCAUGCUACGCCAAGUUCAUGGUCGUCCCUAACUACACCUACCUCAAGCUCAAGAUGUCGGGCCCCAACGGGGUCAUCACCGUCGGCUCCACGUACCGACACGCGUACGAAUGCGGCGUGGAGUGCGUGGAGUACGCCGAGGCCCUCGCCGAAUCCGAGGCCCUCAUCGCCGACCUAGAGAGUCACUCCAAGGAGGUGCCAGAUGCGAAGCGCCACGCCGGCAACUUCGAGCCAGCUGAGGCGGUUAAGUCCGUCCCUCUCGACCCCAGCAACGACACCUCCAAGGAAGUCCGGAUCGGCUCCGAGCUCGACCCCAAAUAGGAAGCAGUGCUCGUCGACUUUCUCCGCGCGAACGCCGAGGUUUUUGCGUGGAGUCCCUCGGACAAGCCUGGCAUACCGAGGGAUGUCGCCGAGCACUCGCUGGAUAUCCGAGCUGGAGCCCGACCCGUGAAGCAGCCUCUGCGCCGAUUCGACGAAGAAAAGUGCAGAGCCAUAGGCGAGGAGAUCCACAAGCUGAUGGCUGCAGGGUUCAUCAAAGAGGUAUUCCAUCCCGAAUGGCUAGCCAACCAUGUGCUUAUGAGAAAGAAAGGCGGGAAAUGGCGGAUGUGUGUAGACUAUACUGGUCUAAACAAAGCAUGUCCGAAGGUUCCCUACCCUCUGCCUCGCAUCGAUCAAAUUGUGGAUUCCACUGCUAGGUGCGAAACCCUGUCGUUCCUUGAUGCCUACUCAGGAUAUCACCAAAUCAGGAUCAAAGAGUCCGACCAGCUCGCGACUUCUUUCAUCACACCUUUUGGCAUGUACUGCUACAUUACUAUGCCAUUCGGUUUGAGGAAUGCGGGUGCGACAUACCAAAGGUGCAUGAACCACGUGUUCAGAGAGCACGUUGGUCGAACGGUCGAGGCUUACGUCGAUGACAUCGUAGUCAAGACGAGGAAAGCCUCUGACCUCCUCUCCGACCUUGAAACGAUAUUCAAGUGUCUCAAGGCGAAAGGCGUGAAACUCAAUCCCGAGAAGUGUGUCUUCGGAGUCCCCUGAGGCAUGCUCCUAGGGUUCAUCGUCUCCGAGCGGGGCAUCGAGGCCAACCCGGAGAAAAUCGCGGCCAUCACCAACAUGGGCCCAUCAAGGACUUGAAAGGAGUACAGAGGGUCAUGGGAUGCCUUGCGGCUCUGAGUCGUUUCAUCUCACGCCUCGGCGAAAGAGGCCUACCUCUGUACCGCCUCUUAAGGAAGACCGAGCGCUUCACUUGGACCCCCGAGGCCGAGGAAGCCCUCGGGAACUUAAAGGCGCUCCUUACAAGCGCGCCCAUCUUGGUGCCCCAGCUGCCGGAGAAGCCCUCUUGAUCUACGUCGCCGCCACCACUCAGGUGGUCAGCGUCGCGAUCGUGGUCGAGAGACGAGAAGAGGGGCACGCAUUGCCCGUCCAGAGGCCGGACUACUUCAUCAGUGAGGUACUGUCCGAGACCAAAAUCCGCUACCCGCAAAUUCAGAAGCUACUGUAUGCGGUAAUUCUGAUGCGGCGAAAGUUGCGACACUACUUCGAGUCUCAUUCGGUGACUGUGGUGUCAUCCUUCCCCUGGGAGAGAUCAUCCAGUGCCGAGAGGCCUCGGGUAGGAUUGCAAAGUGGGCGGUGGAGAUCAUGGGCGAGACAAUCUCGUUCGCUCCUUGGAAGGCCAUCAAGUCCCAAGUCUUGGCGGACUUUGUGGCCGAAUGGGUCGACACCCAGCUUCUAGCAGCUCCGAUCCAACCGGAACUCUGGACCAUGUUUUUCGACGGGUCGCUGAUGAAAACAGGAGCGGGCGCGGGCCUGCUCUUCAUCUCACCCCUCGGGAAGCACCUCCGCUACGUGUUGCGCCUCCAUUUCCCGGCGUCCAACAACGUGGCUGAGUACGAGGCUCUGGUUAACGGGUUGCGCAUCGCCAUCGAGCUAGGGGUUCGGCACCUCGACGCUCGUGGUGACUCGCAGCUUGUCAUCGACCAAGUCAUGAAGAACUCCCAUUGCCGUGACCCGAAGAUGGAAGCCUACUGCGAUGAGGUUCGGCGCCUAGAGGACAAGUUCUACGGGCUCGAGCUCAACCACAUCGCUCGACGAUACAACGAGACUGCGAACGAGCUAGCUAAGAUAGCCUCGGGGCGGACAACGGUUCCUCCGGACGUCUUCUCCCGAGACCUACAUCAACCCUCAGUCAAGACCGACGACACGCCCGAGCCCGAGAAGGUCUCGGCCCUGCCCGAGGCGCCCUCGGCUCAGCCCGAGGCACCCUCGGCCCCCGAGAGUGAGGCACUGCGCGUCGAGGAAGAGCGGAAUGGGGUCCCGCCUAAUCGGAACUGGCAGACCCCGUACCUGCAUUAUCUCCACCGAGGAGAGCUACCCCUCGACAGGGCUGUAGCUCGGCGACUGGCACGGCGCGCCAAGUCAUUCGUCUUGCUGGGUGACGGAAAGGAGCUCUACCACCGCAGCCCCUCAGGCAUCCUCCAGCGAUGCAUAUCCAUCGCCGAAGGUCAGGAGCUAUUACAAGAAAUACACUUGGGGGCUUGCGGCCACCACGCAGCACGCAGGGCCCUCGUUGGAAACGCCUUCCGACAGGGUUUCUACUGGCCAACCGUGGUGGCCGACGCCACUAGGAUUGUACGCACCUGCCAAGGGUGUCAAUUCUACGCAAGGCAGACGCACCUACCCGCUCAGGCCUUGCAAACAAUACUCAUCACCUGGCCAUUUGCUGUGUGGGGUCUGGACCUCGUCGGUCCCUUGCAGAAGGCACCCGGGGGCUACACGCACCUGCUGGUCGCUAUCGACAAAUUCUCCAAGUGGAUUGAGGUCCGACCCCUAAACAGCAUCAGGUCCGAACAGGCGGUGGCGUUCUUCACCAACAUCAUCCAUCGCUUCGGGGUCCUGAACUCCAUCAUCACUAACAACGGCACCCAGUUCACUGGCAGAAAGUUCCUGGACUUCUGUGAGGACCACCACAUCCGGGUGGACUGGGCCGCCGUAGCUCACCCCAUGACGAAUGGGCAGGUAGAGCGUGCCAACGGCAUGAUUCUACAGGGACUCAAGCCAAGGAUCUACAACGACCUCAACAAGCUAGGCAGGCGAUGGAUGAAGGAACUCCCCUCGGUGGUCUGGAGUCUGAGGACGACGCCAAGCCGAGCCACGGGCUUCACGCCGUUCUUUCUAGUCUAUGGGGCCGAGGCUAUCUUGCCCACAGACUUAGAAUACGGUUCCCCGAAGACGAGGACACACGACGCCCGAAACAACCAGACCAACCAAGAAGACUCACUAGACCAGCUGGAAGAGGCUCAGGAUGUAACCUUACUACACUCGGCGCGGUAUCAGCAGUCCCUACGACGCUACCAUGCCCGAGGGGUUCGGUCCCGAGACCUCCAGGUGGUCGACUUGGUGCUUCGGCUACGAUAAGACGCCCGAGGGUGCCACAAGCUCACACCUCCCUGGGAAGGGUCGUUCAUCAUCGCCAAGAUUUUGAAGCCCGGAACAUACAAGUUGGCCAACAGUCAAGGCGAGGUCUACAGCUGUUAGAAAUAUGCCCUAGAGAUAAUCAUAGAGAUGAGCAUAUUUCUUUGUAUCCAUGAGAUAUAUAUAUUGCUUAAUUGAAUAUCCAUGGAAGGCACCUUGUAUUGAUUAGCAAUUAUGUGAAUUGUUUGUGAGAUUCUUUACUUAUAUGGUUAUUCUAAAUGAUGUCCCUAGUCAGAGUCGAUGACUAGCACAUGUAUUAGUUGAUGACUACAUUUCACAAGUCAUGAACAUGGAGAUGUUAAAUUAAUAAUGUGGGCGCAUGUAUGACAUGAGGCUGGACCGACCCAACGUGAGAUAUUGUAAUAUAGUUCUCUUCUUGCAACAUGAAUACUGUAUCCUUAGACCUGAGAUUGUCGCAUGUUCUCAAGAUGUGAAUUGACUUACUUAGGGACUAUCAAACGCUAUCCCGUAACUGGGUAGUUAUAAAGGUAGUUUUGGGUUUGUCAGGAAGCAUGCUAUGAGGCAUGGUCAGUCAAGAUGGAAUUUGUCCCUCUCUUUGUGAGAGAGAUAUCUCUGGGCCCCUCGAGUGAUUGGAUCAAGAAAUGCAUGGUCGUGCUAGGGUUAAGAGUUAACCAUUGAAAGGAUUCCAAUUCACAGUAUCGAGAAAGAGAGGUCAGCUUAGAGCCAGACCAAAUAUCGUGAGACAAAGGGAACAGCAUGUACUUAAUGUCGCAAUGGUUCGUCUGAUAUGAUCUUUACGUACACAUAGGAGUUGACAUGUCUUGCUAGAGGCCGCUGUCAAUUAUUGGGCCAAGUAAGAGUACUCGGGCUAUGUCUAUUUGUACGUGAACCUAUAGGGUCACACACUUAAGGGAAAGGAAGCCUAAUUCAGAUUAGAUCCGAAAUUAGACUGGGCUUUAGGGUUAAUGAUGGGCCUCGGCGUCAGAAGCCCACCAUAACGCCUAUAUAAUGAGGGUCGGGGGCGCGGUUAAGAGAUAACCUAAUUCGCCACCAGCGAACUAACAGCCGCCGCCCACCUCUCGCCCUCGCCAAGCCGCCGUCGCGAACCUAGCAGUUCGGUACGCGGCGCUUCCUCCCUGUACGUGUGGAUACCUCGGAGGUGCUGCAUCUGGAGCACUUGGACGGACCGUGCGAGGACGUGAAGGACGCUGGCGACUGCACGGCACUGCUCGACGCGUUCGUCUACAUCGAGACGUCUUCCGCUGCUCUGCGCGUCUAGUGGUAAUUCCAUGACCUAUAACCGCAAUAGUUCUUGGUAUUAUGGGGUUGAAAAUUUUGUUUUGCGCUAGUGUAGCCUCCCCGUAAUCCUACAACAGCAAUGCUUGGAACAUCCGACAGCUACGUCGCUUCUACCCUUAAGAUGUUUCCAAGUCUUCAUAUACCUCGUUUACAUACACAAAUAAAGUCUAACCAUCAAGGAAGGGUCAGCCUUGCCUCGGCAAAGCUCGACCCUCCCUCGGGGGCUAGAAGGGGGGUACCCCCUCUGCGUCAAAAUUUUCCUCGGAAAAAGUCUUUCUGCCAGAACAUCUUUCGUGCUUUUCGACUACUUCGAUAGUGGGAUCCUGAAAACGACGGAGUACACGUAAGCGGCAAGGUCGACCGAGCCAAGGGACUCCUACGCCUCCGGGAUACGGAUACCUCACUCAUCACCUUCUGCGAUAAGUAACUCACGCUCGGAUAAGCGAUUCCGUCGACCGAACAAGUCUUAAACGCUCGAAAACCUUUCUGCUGAAACGAUUUUUCGUGCCUUCUCGACUAUAUCGAUAACAGAAUCCUACGGACGAGUAAGAGUACACGUAAGCGGCAAGGCCGACCGAGCCGAGGAACUCCUACGCCUCCGGGAUACGGAUACCUCACUCAUCACCUUCCGCAAUAAGUAACUCUCGCUCGGAUAAACAAUUCUGCUACCGACGAACAAGUCCUGAUACUCAAAACAAGGGGAAAAGAAACGCAGCUUACAACAUGACGACGGUAUGUUUGGGCCUUGGCGGCCGCAAAAAACAUACGCACACUACAGAUAAACUGUUCCUGCAGGAUCAUACAUCAGUAGGGGGAGCAGCAGCACCCUCGGCAUCAACUCCACCUUCGGCGGAAUCCGACCCGGCCUCGGACGGUGACACGGUCGGAGGACCUCCACCUCAAAUGAAAAUGUCAGCAUCGCACCUGGGUCAUCGCCGCUAGGGUCUCCUCUAGAAACCCGGCCCAAGCAGACGGCUUGAUCGGCCGCUCCGUAGCCUCAGCCAGCCGUCCCCCGGGGACGCCGGCUCGGCUCAUGGCCUCGGCAGCCCGACUCCAGGGUUGGUCCCGCAAGUGGACGACCUGGCCAAGUUCCAGCCGCCGCUGCUACGCCUCCUCGGCCUGGGAAGUCACCUGCUCCUGGGCCGACGAAGUCUUCUUUUCGAGCCAACUCCGCCUCUGUCCAUGCUGACACCGCUGCCUCCGGCUCCGGCUCAUCGCAGAGCGGCCGAGGGUUUCUUAAACUGGGCAAGAGAAGCCUCGAGCGGCAAGGCCCACUGAGCUGAGGGACUCCUACGCCUCUGGGAUACGGAUACCUCACUCGUCACCUUCCGCACAGGGCAACUCACACUUGGUUAAGCGGUUCAGCUAGCCGACAGGCGAGUCCUAGUGCUCGAAAUGAGGAAAAAACAUGGCUUUACGCCCAAAUACACAUAUGUUCAGGCCUCGACAGCCACAAUGAACAACACCGACACUCAAGGUGCCAUUAAAAACAGAACCCUGGUUCCACUCCCGCAGUUACGAACAACCCCCCACGUUGGAGGGCCUGCGGGACGACAAAAUCCCAGGUGGCUCGCCGCCGCCCACUCCGGCAGCAGCGACAACGAUCUCCGCUCCGGGCGGCCAAACAGCAGCAGCGAUGACCUCAGGGCAGAUGCUGCUGCGAUAAGGCCCUCGCCCACGUCCCCACUCGAGGGGCGAGGACAAACUAUCAAAGCCAAAGAGCCGGAGGCCCGGAGCGCAGAUGGUGGCGGCGAUCUCAUCGGCGACGAGGACUUCUUCAGCCGCCACCACCUCAGCACCGACGACAGCAGCCAUCUGCCCACCGGCAGAUCCCCACUCGGGUCCUCCCGGACAGGCGAGCACCGACCUCCGCACGGAAGCGUCGUACCGGAGCAAGGGCAGGACAGCCCAAGAACACGAACGCCGCCCUAGCAGCGCGCGACGUCUUGGGCGGUCCCUCGGUGCGCGCGGCGCAACAGCCGCCUAUACGGCGGGCAGAUAGCCGCACUCCGCCCGGCGGUGGGAGGUGGCACCGGAAGCUGCGCCAGAGCCAGCUGAGCCAGCGAACCAGGCAUGCUGGAGCUGACGACGCUUGCGGCCGAUCGGCACCGCGUUGUCGAAGUCCGCCCCUUCCGCUAAGCCGGCGAGCGCCCUCUCCCCUAAAUGAUGAAGGAGGAGGUGGCCCACCGACCCAUACGGGAGGUAGAGCUCCGGCUCAGCUCGCCCUCUGCCCCUGCAAGGAUGAUGAAGAUCCUUGAAGCUGAGGGCAGGGCAGAGGUCGCAGCCCGGCUUGCUUCUCCCCACCAUCAAACUGGUGGUCACCGUCUUGGGUGACCAUCGGCAAGGGGAUGCAGUCGGGCUGCCUGAUGAAAAUCCUUGAAGCCGAGCGAUGGCUGAAAGGUACCAACUUCCGCGAAGUUGCGCUCCUCCAACGACAGCAAGACGAAAGCAACGAAGGCGCUCCCCAUCCGGGGGCUCGGAAGAUGGAAGGGCGCAAUGCAUGAGGGGAGUGCGAAGGCAUGGCUGCCAUCCAAGGGGGUCACCCCCUUUUUAAAGGCGACUCUCCCCACUUGUGUCCUCAGCCGUCACAGACUGAGUCUUCACCAACACGCUCCAAGGUCCUCCCCCCACGACACAGGGGCUGGGUCACACGCGUCAUGCAAGCUGGCCGAGGACAGAAGAAGCCAAACCGCCGCGCGCGGAGCACGUAACUGCCCAGCGGUUACGAGCACUCCUCCAUCUUCGCCUAAACCAGCGGGCAAAAGGGCGGACCGCCAUGCAGGCGGCAUGCAACUGCACCAAGGGGAUGCACCUUUUCGACUUCAACACGUCCAGCAUGGGGCCCAAGCCACACAUCAUGUAACCGGCGCGCCGGUUACUACGUGCGAGAAACUGCACCGCCACUUGCGCCAGUACCACGCCUUCUCGACUGCGGGACCGGUGCCGCGACUCGAGGCAACCCUGCGCAUGGCCCAACAGUGCCAACCGAGCACAUCGGUCACGGGUCAGUCCGCCGCAGGAGAAGGCGCGACGGUCGAUAUGGCCAAAAUUGGGCCAGCAGUAAUGGCGGCGGCAGGCGGGCGGAAGCAGCAGUCAAAUCGUCUACAGGCUCACGUCCCCUCCUGGGACAGCGGGAGAGCCCUCUCCCACGGCGUGAAGAUGACGCGCCCGUGUUCCGUUCCUCGAACGGCUCGCGCAUACACAACGGCUGCCCCGCCAACCACUCGUCCCGUCGCAUUUACUCUGCGGCAGGGCAUGCGAAGCGGGCGACGCUUCACCUCUGCCAUGAUGACCGCGUCAAAAAAGGUGCGCCACGUCGUUCAAUUUCGUAUCCUUUUCCUCUUCCCCUUUCUCUCUCUUGCUAUAGGGACCGGGAAAGGGGAUACUCCGAAAGGGAUCCUUCCCUGCGAAGAAAGCGGGCCCUGAGCCCUCCUACUAAUCAGAGGUUCGAAGGCUGGCCCCUCGGAAGGGUUCGACAGUCGCCUCAGAACACUCGGGCUCCGCGCCCACUACUGGUCAGGGGUUCGAAGGCUGGCCCCUCGGAAGGGUUCGACAGUCGCCUCAGGCCACUCGGGCUCCGCGCCCACUACUGAUCAGGGGUUCGUAGGCUGGCCCCCGAAGGGUUCGACAGCCGCCUCAGAGCACGCAGAGCGAGGGAUGACUUUGGGUACAUCCGAUACAUGGCCGAGGCUCGGGCUAUGCUCUCGAGGUACCCUAGGACAUUUCCGAGACCAGCAGGAGCGAUUCUAUAACGGAAUCCCAUCAGAGGGAGGCAUCAGGCCCUCGGAACCAAUCAAACGGGACCGGGUCCGGCAAAUCACCUGCACGUACUUUUGGAGCGCGCCUCUGGGCCACUAGCCGAUCCUUAUCGAACGGGGCACGGGCGUCCACUCGGAUCACCCGUUAGCAACUCACUGGAGACACCAUGUUCGGCGCCCUCCAAGGGCAACAUGGCACUUUCCCCCUCCUCCUUGCAGAAAGGCGACGAAGGGACGUAUGAUAAAAGCCGAGUCAGUCCUUGACCGUCCUCUCGCUCUGUGCGGAGGCUCGGGGGCUGCUCUCGCAAACCCGGCUCCGGCCAAACCGUUGACAGCGUCAACAUACCAGCCCGAGAACUCGGAACCUGACUAUGCACCCGGGCAACGACCAGUUCGCAUGAGGGAACAACCAGACCGGUCGAGGCGUCACGAAAAGCGCUAAGACCUCGGAGGAGUCAAACCACUCCUCCGAGGCCUCGGGGGCUACACCCGGCGGGUGCGCUCGCGCGCACCCACCGGAACGAAAUACAACCGAGAAAGGUCGGUCCCCUUGCAAAAAAGUGCGAUAAAAGCCUCCAAGCGAGUACUAAUACUCCCUUCGAGGCUCGGGGGCUACUGUCGGGGACCAUAAUUAGGGGUACCCCCAAGACUCCUAAUCUCAACUGGUAACCCCCAUCAGCACAAAGCUGCAAAGGCCUGAUGGGCGCAAUUUAGGUCAAGGCUCUGUCCCCUCAAGGGACAUGAUCUCGCCUCGCCCGAGCCCAGCCUCGGGCAAAGACAGCCGACCCAGGAGGAUUCACGUCUCGCCCGAGGGUCCCCUCAAGCAACGGGCGCACCUUCGACUCGCCUGAGGCCCAGCUCGGGCAGGCUUCGCGGAGAAGCAACCUUGGCCAAGACCGCCUCGCCAACCGACCGGAUCGCAGGAGCAUUCAAUGCAAGGAUCGCCUGACACCUUAUCCUGACGCACGCUCUUUAGUCGACUGAGCCGAAGUGACCGCAGUCACUUCACCCCUCCACUGGCUGACCUGACAAGAAAACAGCGCCGCCUGCGCCGCUCCGACUGUUGUGCCACCCGUUAAGGUGAGGCUGACAGCCGUCAAGUCCAGCCUCAGGCACCAUAGGAAGCUCCGCUUCACCCGACCCCAGGGCUCGGACUCAACCUCGACCGAGGACGACGGUCUCCGCCUCGCCCGACCCCAGGGCUCGAACUCCACCUCGACACCGGAAGACGGUCUCCGCCUCGCCUGACCCCAGGGCUCGGACUCAACCUCGACCGAGGACGACGGACUCCGCCUCGCCUGACCCCAGGGCUCGGACUCAACCUCGACCUCGGACGACAGACUUCGCCUCGCCCGACCCCAGGGCUCGGACUCAACCUCAACCUCAGACGACAAACUCCGCCUCGCCCGACCCUAAGGCUCGGACUCAACCUGGACCUCGGACGACGGUCUCCGCCUCGCCCGACCCUAGGGCUCGGACUCAGCCUUGACCUUGGAGGAGCCUCCGCCUCGCCGACCUUGGGCUCGGACCGACCACGUCGCAGGAGGGCACAUCAUUACCCUACCCCUAGCUAGCUCAGGCUACGGGGAACAAGACCGGCGUCCCAUCUUGCUCGUCCCGGUAAAACAAGUAAUGAUGGCACCCCGCGUGCUCCAUGACGACGGCGGUUCUCAGCCCCCUACGGAAGCAAAGAGACGUCAGCAAGGACCCGACAGCUCCGACAGUUGUGCUCCUACAGGGCUCAAGCGCUCCUCCGACGGCCACGACAUCACAUGAACAGGGCGCCAAAACCUCUCCGACAGCUACGUCGGCAAGUACAUAGGACUCUAGCUUCCCUCUGCUAGACACGUUAGCACAUUGCUACACCCCCCAUUGUACACUUCGGCCUUCUCCUUACAUCUAUAAAAGGAACGUCCAGGGCCCUCGUACGAAAAGGUGGCCGCGCGGGAGGACGGGCUGACGCACAGGCUCUCUCUCUCCCUCGCGAAAGCUUGUAACCCCCUACUGCAAGCGCAUCCGCCCUGGGCGCAGGACAACACGAGGCCGUGGUUCCCCUUAUUGUUCCCCCUUGUGUUCCGUCUCGCGCCGACCCAUCUGGGCUGCGACACGUAGCGACAAUUUACUCGUCGGUCUAGGGACCCCCCGGGGUCGAAACGCCGACAACCGCCAUCAUAGCAAAAUCAACCCGGGAACCUCCCUACACGCCUACUCCCCUACUGCCCUUGCCCCUAUCGGGUAAGGUAGUCCUCCACUAGUUUUCCUAGUUAGUCAGCCAAGGGCGUCCCAUUUCACCCUUGUGGUGUCACGUGUUUCUCAAGUUAAGCUCCGUGUUCCAAUUAAAAAUACUGAUCUUGAUAUGAAUAAUAAAUAAAAUAACAGUAUAAUUGGAACAUGAACAUAAUGUAAUAUUAAACCCAAAAUCAUAUAGAGCAAUAGCAAAACUACCCAAAUAUUUCAGGGACGAACAAGGUAAAAAGAUAACCAGACUAGGGUGACCUAUUGGGUCCCAUCAAAAUUAAGCCUAUGCAUGGAUAAAUGAUUAUAAAGAACAUUAUUGGGUAAUAAAAGUGGUCAAGGGCACAACUUGCCUUCAAUGAGCUCCUACUCAGCAACUUCUACCUGCUGAACAACUAGAUCCUCGGCCACUGGCUCUUCUACUCGCCACAAUACAAACAAGCAUAGUACAAGGGAAAACUUAACAUCACACCAAACAUGUAUACAAAAUACAUAUUAAUUAAUAAUCUACACAUUAAAAUGAGAUCAUAGGAAAAAGAAUCAUUAAAUUCAGAGUUAUGAAUUUCCAAAGGUUUCAUGUGUUUGGUACAAGAUUAAUUAAGAGAUCAAUUUUAAUAUUGUUUUCGUGUCAAAACAGAGACACUAUGUGAUGAACAAUAUUAUUACAAAAUUAUAGAAACUGAAAUGGACUAAUUUGGACUAAUAUGAAUUUUUUAGGAAUUAAACAAAUUCUAGUAAUUAUUUGUGUACUAAAAAAAUUUCUAAACAAAUUUCACUAUUUAAUUAAUUGUGUGAACUGCGGGCAUAAUAACCAGAAAGCCUAGGAUCAGUCUGCAAAAUUCCCUAGACUUAGACUACAUCCGCGAGGGCUGAGGGUUGAUUUCCAAUCUCUCCGAGGGCUCAUGUGUUAAAUCUUCACAGCGAAGGGGUACACAGAUUUAUGAGUCGUCCGAUCUACAGCCAACCCUCAAGAUUAAAUCAGCGUGACAGAUGAACCGAUAAUCAUCCCCGGUCGCCAGAUCCGAUAUCAACGAAUGAGAUACGACCACGCCCCGACUUGACCUAAACCCUUUAUCAUCGAAUCGACGACCAAGAUCUAUACGAUGAAGGGGGUGUAUGGUCCUUUUAAUCUAGUUUGCUAACUCCACAUCCAACAGCCCACAAGCACCACCCCUCACGACCCGACCGCGCGGCGGCGCCAUGACUGGCGAACCCCCCAGGGGUGUUCCAGCGACGCACCGUGGCCCCCGGUUCGAUAUAACCAAUGUGGAGCCCCCAAGAAUACGAUAGGCCGAUGGGUCUUACCGCGGAGAUGACGAGGACGAAGUUGACGAUGUCGCCGUGCAGUCCGACGCAAGACGCAAAGCCCGGUGAUGCACAGUCUAUCGUCGGAGAUCGCGAUGCGCCCUUCGGCCACGAAUGGCUUCGCCGAGUACAGGGAUUGUCCUUGACCACCUUUCGACUCAAGCACGACGCGGACGAGGUGACGGCAGCGCCCGCGAUUUACCUUUCUCUCUCUUGGUCCUUCAACUCAUGCCGGCGGUGAUCUACAGCGCGAUCCUAGGGGCAGUUGCAAACGGAGGGAGGAGAGGCGCGCGUGUCCUUAUGUAGCCCCCACCAAGCUGGGUCCCGAAUGUCGAGCUCGAGAGAAAGACGGGAAGGCGGUUGUGACCACCCCCGUGGCGAUCGCACGGUCAUGGGACGCCUGAG